rnacentral:rRNA from 1 species
UACGUAGGGUGCGAGCGUUGUCCGGAUUUAUUGGGCGUAAAGGGCUCGUAGGCGGCUUGUCGCGUCGGAAGUGAAAGCCCACUGCUUAACGGUGGGUCUGCUUCCGGUACGGGCAGGCUGGAGUAUGGCAGGGGAGACUGGAAUUCCUGGUGUAGCGGUGGAAUGCGCAGAUAUCAGGAGGAACACCGGUGGCGAAGGCGGGUCUCUGGGCCAUUACUGACGCUGAGGAGCGAAAGCGUGGGGAGCGAACAGGAUUAGAAACCCUAGUAGUCC